UCCUACGGGAGGCAGCAGUGGGGAAUAUUGCACAAUGGGCGAAAGCCUGAUGCAGCGACGCCGCGUGAGGGAUGACGGCCUUCGGGUUGUAAACCUCUUUCAGCAGGGAAGAAGCGCAAGUGACGGUACCUGCAGAAGAAGCGCCGGCUAACUACGUGCCAGCAGCCGCGGUAAUACGUAGGGCGCAAGCGUUGUCCGGAAUUAUUGGGCGUAAAGAGCUCGUAGGCGGUCUGUCGCGUCUGGUGUGAAAUCCCGAGGCUCAACCUCGGGCUUGCAUCGGGUACGGGCAGACUAGAGUGCGGUAGGGGAGACUGGAAUUCCUGGUGUAGCGGUGGAAUGCGCAGAUAUCAGGAGGAACACCGAUGGCGAAGGCAGGUCUCUGGGCCGCAACUGACGCUGAGGAGCGAAAGCAUGGGGAGCGAACAGGAUUAGAUACCCUGGUAGUCCAUGCCGUAAACGUUGGGCACUAGGUGUGGGGCUCAUUCCACGAGUUCCGUGCCGCAGCUAACGCAUUAAGUGCCCCGCCUGGGGAGUACGGCCGCAAGGCUAAAACUCAAAUGAAUUGACGGA
rnacentral:rRNA from 1 species